UUCAACCUUACAAAUUCAGGUUUGUGUGUUAACCUUCAAAAAUUCAACAUUAGAUAUGUACUGUCUAACUUAAUAUGCUGAUAUUACAUUUCAAAGUCAAAGGUAAAAUGCUUUAAAUGAUGAAAGAAGUUCAACAGUUCUGGCUUUUCCGUUUUCUUUCUUAAAUUCUCACUCUAAAUAAAAUAAAAUU